CCCUUAGAUGUUCUGGGCCGCACGCGCGCUACACUGAUGCAUUCAACGAGUCUAAAACCUGCUCUGAUAGGGGUGGGUAAUCUUUUGAAUGUGCAUCGUGAUUGGGAUAGAUGAUUGCAAUUUUUCAUCUUCAACGAGGAAUACCUAGUAAACGCAAGUCAUCAGCUUGCAUUGAUUACGUCCCUGCCCUUUGUACACACCGCCCGUCGCUCCUACCGAUUGAAUGAUCCGAUGAAUAUCAUGGAUUGAGGAUGCAAGUAGGUUCGCCUAUCUUCAUCUUCGAGAAGUGAAGUAAAUCUUAUCAUUUAGAGGAAGGAGAAGUCGUAACA
rnacentral:rRNA from 1 species